rnacentral:tRNA from 1 species
CAAAAUGUAGCUUAAACAAAGCCUCUUGCUUACACCAAGAAGAUAUCUGUGCAACCCAGACCAUUUUGAG